GGCUGAUUGUCCAGGCAAAUCCGGAUAAUCAAGGCUGAGGUGUGAUGACGAGGCACUACGGUGCUGAAGUAACAAAUGCCCUGCUUCCAGGAAAAGCCUCUAAGCAUCAGGUAACAUUAAAUCGUACCCCAAACCGACACAGGUGGUCAGGUAGAGAAUACCAAGGCGCUUGAGAGAACUCGGGUGAAGGAACUAGGCAAAAUGGUGCUGUAACUUCGGGAGAAGGCACGCUGGUGUGUAGGUGA
rnacentral:rRNA from 1 species